GGUCCGGUAGUUCAGCUGGUUAGAAUGCCUGCCUGUCACGCAGGAGGUCGAGGGUUCGAGUCCCUUCCGGAUCGCCA
rnacentral:tRNA from 3 species